rnacentral:rRNA from 1 species
GUAGGGUGCAAGCGUUAAUCGGAAUUACUGGGCGUAAAGCGUGCGCAGGCGGUUUUGUAAGUCUGUCGUGAAAGCCCCGGGCUCAACCUGGGAAUUGCGAUGGAGACUGCAAGGCUUGAAUCUGGCAGAGGGGGGUAGAAUUCCACGUGUAGCAGUGAAAUGCGUAGAGAUGUGGAGGAACACCGAUGGCGAAGGCAGCCCCCUGGGUCAAGAUUGACGCUCAUGCACGAAAGCGUGGGGGAGCAAACAGGAUUAGAUACCCUGGUAGUCCACGCCCUAAACGAUGUCUACUAGUUGUCGGGUUUUUAAUUAACUUGGUAACGCAGCUAACGCGUGAAGUAGACCGCCUGGGGAGUACGGUCGCAAGAUUA